GACGAACGCUGGCGGCGUGCUUCACACAUGCAAGUCGAACGGAUCACUUUCGGGUGGUUAGUGGCGAACGGGUGAGUAACACGUGAGUAACCUGUCCCGGAGACUGGGAUAACAGUGGGAAACUGCUGCUAAUACCGGAUGUGCCUGCGCUGUCGCAUGGUGGUGUGGGGAAAUGCUUUUGUGCUUCGGGAGGGGCUCGCGGCCUAUCAGCUUGUUGGUGGGGUGAUGGCUUACCAAGGCUUCGACGGGUAGCUGGUCUGAGAGGACGAUCAGCCACACUGGGACUGAGACACGGCCCAGACUCCUACGGGAGGCAGCAGUGGGGAAUCUUGCGCAAUGGGCGGAAGCCUGACGCAGCAACGCCGCGUGAGGGAUGAAUGCCUUCGGGUUGUAAACCUCUUUCGAGCAGGGACGAUUGUGACGGUACCUGCGGAAGAAGCUCCGGCCAACUACGUGCCAGCAGCCGCAGUAACAC
rnacentral:rRNA from 1 species